UUCACAAAUCAAAACAUUGAUACUUUUGAUACUUCAGUCAUUUGAGGUAAUGUACAUCAGGAGCACAGUGAAAAGAAGCUAAACUAUUGACAUCUUGUCCAAAUUAUACAUGAUCGGUUGGAACUACUUUUUCUUCCGCUUGGGUAAGUGUGUACUGCGUCACACUUCUCAUUCUGUCAAAAACAGAACAGACUA